GACGAACCGGACAAACGUUAUUCGGAAUUACUGGGCUUAAAGGGUGCGUAGGCGGCGCGGAAAGUUGGGUGUGAAAUCCCUCGGCUCAACCGAGGAACUGCGCUCAAAACUACCGUGCUAGAGGAAGACAGAGGUGAGUGGAACUUAGGGUGGAGCGGUGAAAUGUGUUGAUAUCCUAAGGAACACCGGUGGCGAAGGCGACUCACUGGGUCUUUUCUGACGCUGAGGCACGAAAGCUAGGGGAGCGAAC
rnacentral:rRNA from 1 species